rnacentral:lncRNA from 1 species
UACCCACUGUAAAUCAGAGUUCUGCGAGGUCGUGCUCGAGAAAAACACUUUGGGAACUUCUCAAGUCGUCGGGAACUCCAGGUAAAGCUCGAGACUUUAAGUUAUUCAUAAGCUAGGUCUUAAGUUUGUUAAGUGAUGUCGAGUAGUGAGGGUCGAGAAUCUUCUAGCAGUUCUAGUAGUAGUGAGGACGUAGGGACCUCGAUAAUACCGACGGCUAUUCCCCUAGAGGCUACUCCCGAGGCCCAGGUUAAUAUGGUUUUUGAGUAUCUCGACGAGCCCUGUAGGCUUAAAGAGCACACAGUCAUAGCUGCAGCUAGGGAAUACGGUAUAAUGCCUAACUGCGAUGUUAGAUUCCCAAACCCCGAGGAUAGGAUUGUUCGAGCACGACGAGGGGAGUUUGUUAUUUUCAGGGAGACCCUUAAGGCUGGCUUUAGGUGGCCCCUUCACCCUUUCUUUAUUGCUCUAUUAGUCGAGCACUCCAUGUGCCCGGGGCAGUUAGUGCCCAACGCCUGGAGAAUGCUCGUUUAUUUUUUUAUAGCAUGUAGAUACUUAGGUAUCGAGCCCAACAUUAGCCUCAGCAAAUUAGUGUUCGAGCUUAAGAAGCAUCCUCGAUACACUUGUUUUGG